rnacentral:lncRNA from 1 species
AGCUUUUGAAAGGCGGCGGGAGGCGGCGAGCGCCAUGGCCAGUCCGGGCUGCCUGCUGUGCGUGCUGGGCCUGCUACUCUGCGGGGCGGCGAGCCUCGAGCUGUCUAGACCCCACGGCGACACCGCCAAGAAGCCCAUCAUCGGAAUAUUAAUGCAAAAAUGCCGUAAUAAAGUCAUGAAAAACUAUGGAAGAUACUAUAUUGCUGCGUCCUAUGUAAAGUACUUGGAGUCUGCAGGUGCGAGAGUUGUACCAGUAAGGCUGGAUCUUACAGAGAAAGACUAUGAAAUACUUUUCAAAUCUAUUAAUGGGUAAGUUGGCAGCAUUGGUUUCAUACGGUAUAUGAGUGGUCUACAUAUGUCUGCUUUUGUAAAAGAAAUCAUAUAAAUAUUAUACAUGUUUCUAUGUAACUGUCUUAGAGUGGUAUAGUAUUAGUGUUCUGAGUUCUUUUAUAGGAUUUAUUUUCUUGGGAGAUGCAAAAGUCCUUCAAAAGA